rnacentral:antisense_RNA from 1 species
CUUGAUGGUGGUUGUGCGCAGGGCGCCCUAGGGCGCGCCGGUUUUUGCUAUUCCUCCCGGUCGACUAACCUGCGUACAGCCGCCUCCCUU